CGUGGGCAAUCUGCCCUAAAGACUGGGAUACCACUUGGAAACAGGUGCUAAUACCGGAUAACAACAUGAAUCGCAUGAUUCAAGUUUGAAAGGCGGCGCAAGCUGUCACUUUAGGAUGAGCCCACGGCGCAUUAGCUAGUUGGUGGGGUAAAGGCCUACCAAGGCAAUGAUGCGUAGCCGAGUUGAGAGACUGAUCGGCCACAUUGGGACUGAGACACGGCCCAAACUCCUACGGAAGGCAGCAGCG
rnacentral:rRNA from 1 species